GACGAACGCUGGCGGCGUGCUUAACACAUGCAAGUCGAACGGAAAGGUCCUGCUUUUGUGGGGUGCUCGAGUGGCGAACGGGUGAGUAACACGUGAGUAACCUGCCCUUGACUUUGGGAUAACUUCAGGACACUGGGGCUAAUACCGGAUAGGAGCUCCUGCUGCUUGGUGGGGGUUGGAAAGUUUCGGCGGUUGGGGAUGGACUCGCGGCUUAUCAGCUUGUUGGUGGGGUAGUGGCUGACCAAGGCCUUGACGGGUAGCCGGCCUGCGAGGGUGACCGGCCACAUUGGGACUGAGAUACGGCACGGACUCCUACGGGAGGCAGCAGUGGGGGAUGUUGCACAAUGCGCGGAGGCCUGGUGCAGCAACGCCGCGUGCGGGAUGGCGGGCAUCGGGUUGUAAACCGAUUUCGCCUGUGACGAGGCGUGAGUGACGGUAAUGGGUAAAUAAGCACCGGCUAACUACGUG
rnacentral:rRNA from 1 species